UGGGGGAUAUUGCACAAUGGGCGAAAGCCUGAUGCAGCGACGCCGCGUGGGGGAUGAAGGCCUUCGGGUUGUAAACUUCUUUUGCUCUGAACAAGGCAUGCCUUUGGGGUGUGUUGAGUGUAGGGGUUGAUUAGCGCCGGCUAACUACGUGCCAGCAGCCGCGGUAAUACGUAGGGCGCGAGCGUUGUCCGGAAUUAUCGGGCGUAAAGGGCUUGUAGGUGGCUGGUUGCGUCUGUCGUGAAAGCUCAUGGCUUAACUGUGGGUUUGCGGUGGGUACGGGCUGGCUUGAGUGCAGUAGGGGAGGCUGGAAUUCCUGGUGUAGCGGUGGAAUGCGCAGAUAUCAGGAGGAAUACCGGUGGCGAAGGCGGGUCUCUGGGCUGUUACUGACGCUGAGGAGCGAAAGCGUGGGGAGCGAACAGG
rnacentral:rRNA from 1 species